rnacentral:rRNA from 1 species
UUUGCAAGUAAAUUAAAUGUGAAACAUGUCCACAACAUAAGAACUGACGCGAUGGAUUUUCCUAACCAAGCAGUCAAGUCUAUUGGAAACUUCGGCGGACAGCUAACAGUGACCGGGAACACUUUGGUCUACACUUGUGGUUCAUUGUGUCGAUCAUAUCUGAUGACUGCCGUGACAAGUCGCCGAGGAUCCGCUCGCUGUGUGCAGGGAGCCCGCCAUCUCCACCUCUCCAUCGGUGUCCGCCGCUGGUGGUUGCCAAGCCAAAGCAGAGUGGCGUUGGUAUUAGCCUGGUAGUACAAUUAUCUCCGAUGCUACAGCUGGGGCUUACCAAGCUAGUGAGUCAAACUAACUGUAAAACUGGGACAUAUCCGUUUUAAUCUAGCCAAGCGAGAAUGCCCCACAGAAAAAAUUGCAAACUGAACUGCACUUCUGUUGGCACUGAUGCUAUUGAACAAGUACUUGCACUUCCAUUUUCUCAUAAACUGAAUUGCAAACUCUCCCAGGGCACACAAUAAAAAGGUCAUGAGCACCACGUUACCUUUAUUUUCUUACUCUACACGCAGCAUUUGACAGAACACAGAACUAUGCUUCAGAACUACUUUACUGAGGACGGAAGCAAUUUUUUUGUCAUUGAUCUCAUGGCCAAACAUGGAACUAGAAGGUAAGCAACUGAGACAUCCGCGGGAAGAGCUUUCAAGCAUCAAGCAGUCUGCUACAUUUCACUGAAACCAUAGACCAAAUCAGUUUUGACUGAAAAGGAAUCAAUUUCUAACUCCCUCACACCUAGCUUGAAGAAACAAACCUGGGCAAAGGAACGGCUGGAAAAGUGGAGAUAUGGGAUACCCCACUCGCAACCUCCCAAGAAGCAGCCAGCCGUAUCCCCACGUUGAGUACCUCAUCAUGCCUGCCGGAGCAGCCCAUCUGGCACACAGCAGAGGGGCGGGGCAGGGAUUGAGGAAUCUCUGGCCUCACCAAACUAAUCACCAAAUUCAUGGGCAAAAAGGCAGCACCUAAUUCUACAAUAAUCAAUCACAUGUGAUGCUAUAGCCACAAGAUCCAUUGUAGAUAGACAUGGGCUUGGGUCACGUAUUUCUCACCUGCAGAGUGGACCAUCGAUCGCGUGCAAGUGCAUCACCCAGAUGUCAAGGCACUCGUCGGAGCAGAGCAUGGCGAUGACAACGUCGGAGCAGAGGACAUCGAGGACGAGGUGCUGCUGCUGCUCCGCUGUGGAGAGUUGGGCUUUUCUCCCUGCGACGCCGUCGUCCACUCGUCGAGCUCCAGCCACCGACGCGCUUGGAGUGAACGGCGCAGCCCCUCCUCGGCCGGAUCCCGACCACCUCCGGCUGGUAGUAGUGCGGGGAAGAGAGCAUCACAAUGGGAGGGAGAGCUUGCAGGAGAGGAGAGAAAGAGACGGGCCGAAGAAGGUACACAGCGUAUCGCACGAGGACGGGGCACACGGCGAUGAGCAGGUGGCGUGCGUGGCCACCGCGCUGCGUCUAGUUGGGGGAGGUUGGCCGUCGUCGAAGUGGAGCGCCAAGGCCAGCUCCGGUGAGAGGAAGGUGGAGGUGGGGAAGAUCGGUUGCUGGCUGGAGAACUGAGGGAGGGCCUAGUGUGGCGACCACGAGGACCGGAAGGAAGAAGAGCACGCGCGCGCGGGCUACCUGGUGCCCACGAGCAUCGGAAGGAAGAGAGCCCAAGCCCGCGCUAGCGGUGGAUCUUGGCCGCAUCUGGGCAAGCUCGAGGUCACCGGCUAGAUCCCAUCGUGGGGGGUGUUCUUGGUGGAGAAGGGGGAGGUCGCAACGGCGUUGGAGGGAGGCAACCCGUGCUCAACGUCGCCGGAUCUGACGGGGGAGGAAGGGAUGCAACGCUGGUGACGACGAAAAGGGGAGGCCGGAAGGCCGGCAACGCACGCUCAUCCCUCCUCCUCGUCCGUCAGAGGGUCUGGGGAGGAGGGUGAUCGUCGGAGGGCAGGGACGGGGCGAUAGCCAUGGUGGAAGCCAUGGCCAGCCAGUGAUGGGGAAGAGUUGACGACGGUAUGACCACGA